GUCUAUGGCCAUGCCAUCCUGAACACGCCCGAUCCAAUCUGAUCUUGGAAGCUAAGCAGGGUUGGGCCUGGUUAGUACUUGGAUGGGAGACCACCUAGGAAGACCAAUAAAAUAAACA
ensembl:rRNA 5S_rRNA 5S ribosomal RNA